UACGGAGGGAGCUAGCGUUGUUCGGAAUUACUGGGCGUAAAGCGCACGUAGGCGGCUUUGUAAGUUAGAGGUGAAAGCCCGGGGCUCAACUCCGGAACUGCCUUUAAGACUGCAUCGCUUGAAUCCAGGAGAGGUGAGUGGAAUUCCGAGUGUAGAGGUGAAAUUCGUAGAUAUUCGGAAGAACACCAGUGGCGAAGGCGGCCACCUGGACGGUAACUGACGCUGAGACGCGAAAGCGUGGGGAGCAAACAGG
rnacentral:rRNA from 1 species